rnacentral:miRNA from 1 species
AAGAAAGCGAAGUCCAUCCUCAU